AUUAACGCGAAGAACCUUACCUGGGCUUGACAUACACCAGAAAGCCGUAGAGAUACGGCCCCCCUUUGUGGUUGGUGUACAGGUGGUGCAUGGCUGUCGUCAGCUCGUGUCGUGAGAUGUUGGGUUAAGUCCCGCAACGAGCGCAACCCUUGUCCUGUAUUGCCAGCGGGUUAUGCCGGGGACUUGCAGGAGACUGUCGGGGUCAACUCGGAGGAAGGUGGGGAUGACGUCAAGUCAUCAUGCCCCUUAUGUCCAGGGCUUCACACAUGCUACAAUGGCGCGUACAGAGGGCUGCGAGACCGUGAGGUGGAGCGAAUCCCUUAAAGCGCGUCUCAGUUCGGAUUGGGGUCUGCAACUCGACCCCAUGAAGUCGGAGUCGCUAGUAAUCGCAGAUCAGCAACGCUGCGGUGAAUACGUUCCCGGGCCUUGUACACACCGAA
rnacentral:rRNA from 1 species